rnacentral:rRNA from 1 species
ACUGAACGCUGGCGGCAUGCCUUACACAUGCAAGUCGAACGGCAGCAUAGGAGCUUGCUCCUGAUGGCGAGUGGCGAACGGGUGAGUAAUAUAUCGGAACGUGCCCUAGAGUGGGGGAUAACUAGUCGAAAGACUAGCUAAUACCGCAUACGAUCUACGGAUGAAAGUGGGGGAUCGCAAGACCUCAUGCUCCUGGAGCGGCCGAUAUCUGAUUAGCUAGUUGGUGGGGUAAAAGCUCACCAAGGCGACGAUCAGUAGCUGGUCUGAGAGGACGACCAGCCACACUGGGACUGAGACACGGCCCAGACUCCUACGGGAGGCAGCAGUGGGGAAUUUUGGACAAUGGGGGCAACCCUGAUCCAGCAAUGCCGCCUGAGUGAAGAAGGCCUUCGGGUUGUAAAGCUCCUUUGUCAGGGAAGAAACGGUUCUGGAUAAUACCUGGGACUAAUGACGGUACCUGAAGAAUAAGCACCGGCUAACUACGUGCCAGCCGCCGCCGUAA